rnacentral:antisense_RNA from 1 species
ACGAAAGGGGGUGCGCGGACCGGGGGGGGUCUGGCGCGCCCCGCCGCCGUUCCGAGUUGGGGGGUUUCUGUGUUGUGGGUCCGGGAAGAAGCGAGCGUGGAAAGGUGCCGGGUUCUCGAACGCUGUUUCUGUCCACUGCCACCCUCCUCCCCGUUCUGAGAGUGGGAUUAAGUCGUGUCUGUGGGUCUGGCCAUCUCCGGAGUCUGCAGCUUGGGGCCGAUUCCUCGGUCUCUACCUCCUGUUGCAGGUCCUUAAUCAUUCAACAGAGACAUAAUAACUUUAUUGGAUGGAGCAAUACUUCUUGCUAAUCAGCAUAUACACACCCAGUGACCUUGCAUGAAGAAGCAGCCUGUCUGCAGAAGAUUGCAUCUCAUCUAUACAAAGCAGGAGUGAUGUUGUCAAUGUGUGUGUGUGCAUGCAUUUAUGUAUCUGUAUGCUUGUGCAGAGAGGGGAAGAUGGGGGAGGGGAUGUGGCUUUGUUACUUAGCUUGCUUGAUUUUUAUCCACAGUUAUUAAGAGGUAAAAUAUUGUAGCUCAACCCCUAGAAGUGGUCGUUUGCUUUACAGAGAGGAAAAUCUCUGCCCCCUUACCAUGGCUUGCAUUUCCAGCCCCAAAAGGCAAAAACAGGGAGCACGUAACUCAGUGGAAUCAAUAGCACGACCAGAAAGUCAAUUCAGUCAUAUGAUGGUGGAUCAGUAUCAUCAUUGUAAAGGAGAGGAGAUCACUGUACUGUCAGAUGCAUCACUCUGACUUUCCCCCAUCACUGUGGAAAAAGGAGGGAAAAAAGCCUUCAAUCAUAAUAGGAAAGGUAAACAGUUUUUCAAACUUACAAACAUAUGUACAUGUCUUCCUCUGUAUCAUUUCAUGUAUGUUGUUUUUAUGUAUGUACCUGUACAAAAAGAUGUAAAUAUCACUUAACCUUGAGUAAUAUAAUACAUGUGAAUUCUAAUUUUAGUUCCACUAAGUAUUAAUAAUUAAUGGUAACUUCGUUGAGUGUGAGAAUUCCACAAGGUUGCGUUAGAAUUCUGAAUGACAUUUUGUUUUUGCUUUAUUGGGCUUUGAUAUGUCAGACAAGAGAAUUCAACUUUUCUCCUGUGUGAAUGAAUUCAAUAGUCUGUUGAGAGAGAUGCCAGUUUUUAGGUUGCAUCCACCAUUUUUAUUUUUAGCUCCAUCUGUUGUCUUUUAUCAAGUUGCUGUUAAAACUCUGAUAAAAUACUUGGUUUGUAGCAUUGGUAUUGUCCCCACCAGCUUCCCUAAAAUGAGCGCUCCGAUUCUAAUCCCCAAAGAUGUUUGAAUUUGUCUCCAGUUGACAUCCAAAAGUCUCAUCUUCCUGGAUUUCCUUCCUCCUCUUGCCCGCUCUGCCCUUUCCCACUAUCCCAGUUCCUAGCAUCUCCCUGACCCUUGGGUUAGAGCCCAGGGAGAUGGACCACUGAAUCCAACCUGGGAAAAUGACAGGAAGUACGUGCAUUCUUCAAAGUGAGGCAUUUGCUGUUAUUGAGCAUCUAUUUUAACAUAACUCAGAUGCAGUGGUAUUAAUUUGUAUAUGAAUAUUUCAUUUAAUAAUAAUGAUUGAGACUGUCCUCUAUAACAGAGGUAAGCAUAUACAGUACAGCCUGUUCUUUAACUCCUUUUUCCUCACCUGACUCAAUUUUCUGUUGAUUAAAUGUUAGACUGAGAAUAAAAGUAUACUUGUUAGAUUUGGCUACUUAUUGAAAGCUGCAGUUUUGGCUAGGCAUAGUGUGGCUUAUACCUGUAAUCCCAGCACAAUGGAAGGCCGAGGUGGGAGGAUGGCUUGAGACCAGGAGUUUGGGACCAGCCUGGGCAACAUAGCAAGACCCCGUCUCUACAAAAAAUAAAAAAUAAAAAAAUGAAAAA